rnacentral:tRNA from 1 species
GAGCACUUAGCUUAGUGGUUGAAAGCAUCACUCAUGCAGUUUGAGGUCAUGGGUUCAACUCCCAUAGUGCACA